rnacentral:rRNA from 1 species
CGAAGACAUGAAGUUAGGUCAGCAAACCCGCUGAAUUUAAGCAUAUAAGUAAGCGGAGGAAAAGAAACUAAAUAGGAUUCCCUCAGUAAUGGCGAAUGAACAGGGAUGAGCUCAGUAUGGAAAUUGGGGCCUGUGGCCUUGAAUUGUAGUCUGGAGAUGUACUACCAACUGGGGCGCAGAUGUAAGCCUCUUGGAAAAGAGCAUCAAUGAGGGUGAGAGUCCCGCUUGGCAUCUGCAGUCCCCAGUGCACGGUGUACCUUCUAAGAGUCACGUUCCUCGGGAUUGGAGCGCAAAUUGGGUGGUAAAUUUCAUCUAAAGCUAAAUAUUGUUUCGAGACCGAUAGCAAACAAGUACCAUGAGGGAAAGGUGAAAAGGACUUUGAAAAGAGAGUUAAAAGUGCCUGAAAUUGCUGAAAGGGAAGCGAAUGGAACCAGCGUAACUUGGUGAGAUUGCUGCGUAUCAAUGUGAUUGCUUGCUGCUUCAACGUAAGUGUGGUAGUAAGUCUUGAACAGGACAUGCGUGGUGUUUCUUGCCUUGUGUGUCACUGCCAGUUCACAGCUGGGGAAAACUUCAGGGGCAUGGUAGCUUGUCUCCGGAUGGGUGAACGUGUCUGCUGGAACUCAUUUGUGGACUGAUUGGUGACUAAAUGGUUCCAUCUGACCCGUCUUGAAACAC